UUAACACAUGCAAGUCGAACGGAAUCCAAGGAGCUUGCUCUGGAAGAUUUAGUGGCGAACGGGUGAGUAUCACGUGAGCAACCUGCUCCGAAGAUUGGGAUAACACCGGGAAACCGGUGCUAAUACCGAAUACCCUCCACACAUCGCAUGAUGAGUAGAGGAAAUGUUUUUCGCUUCGGGAGGGGCUCGCGGUCCAUCAGCUUGUUGGCGGGGUAACGGCCCACCAAGGCGUCGACGGAUAGCUGGUCUGAGAGGACGAUCAGCCACACUGGAACUGAGACACGGUCCAGACUCCUACGGGAGGCAGCAGUGGGGAAUCUUGCGCAAUGGACGAAAGUCUGACGCAGCAACGCCGCGUGAGGGACGAAGGCUUUCUGAGUUGUAAACCUCUUUCGACAGGAACGAUUGUGACGGUACCUGUAGAAGAAGCACCGGCCAACUAUGUGCCAGCAGCCGCGGUAAU
rnacentral:rRNA from 1 species